UUGACGUUGUUUAGAUUUCUCAAACUCCCUUGGAAUGUAAGCUCUGGGACAUUAGAGGAAAUACGGAGCGACAGAAAGUGGCUCUGGCUAGCUUAAGGAACAGCGAGAAUUUAUUGGAAGGUUUCUGAAUUAUCUUAUGGAAUCAAAGUUGGAACCGAACAGUCAGGAACACGGAAAGGGAAGGAACAGUGAAAAAAAUCACCCAAAUUGCUUCAGUGCUUCAAUCACCCCCAUUGACUAAACAUUGGCGCAGUGAGGAAAAACAUGCGUUGAACUUUCCUGAGAAAUCUCCAGUUGUGGUGUUGCCCUGGCUUGUGCAUUUGGCACUCAUAAUGGAUGGGAUACUGACUUUCAUCCUAGAGGCACUGCUCCAUAUUUGGAUGAUAUCUACUGCUACCACAUGGGACAUUGUCAGCUGGACCGAUUUUUCUCUCUCCAUUUGAGCAGUAUUUUUAGGAUCUCCCGAGAUAACUUUGUUCAACGACUUCCCACCAGACAGGAUAUUUAAUGCAAUUAUUUCUCUCUACAUUGGCCUCAAACUGAACUUUAGCACAGACAUUCUUAUCAACUCACUUUAAAAAAAAUUUUUUUUUAUUGGAGUUCAAUUUGCCAACAUAUAGCAUAACACCCUCAACUCACUUUUGAAUUCAAACUGGCCAUUCAUUUGGUGUUUCUCUUUCUUUGUCACAUUAUUAAAAUCCUGAGUUCCUGUGGUCGAAAAUCUCACCACAAUAUGCAGAAGUAGGAAGCACUAGAACAGUGUAAGUGAAAUAUCUCUAGCCUUGUGCUUUGCUUGCCUUCUAAGAGUUAACUUUAACAUGAAGGAUUUGGCACCACGGUGUGUCCUAACACCCUCAAUUGACAGAAGGUAAUAGGGUGAUAAUAGAUAGAUUCAGGCCAAGAAGAUUUUCCUACUGUUAUCAAUUCAAUUUCAGUGAAGGAAGUUUCAGUGGCAAUCAUAUUGCUCCCACUCCUUCUCUAUCAAGGAAUGAGUACAAUUUAGAUAGUUUGCCUAAGAGUAAAAUAAUAUCAACAAAUGUAAAACCAGCCCGAUACUCUCAUUUUCUUGGCGAGGCACAUCAAGAUAUGCUAGCGAGCUGUCAGAGGCUGUAAAUCUAGCUAAUCUCCCUUGUAGCGCUUUCUAAUCUUUCUCUUCAGCUCAGAGAAGAACCAUGUCCCCUGCUAAUUCUAUGUUAGGUUAAUUGGAUUGGCUGUGUAAUAUUCAAUUGAGAUUACCUCCAUAAAAUUUAUUUGUAAAUUUUAUUCCUUAAGUAGUGACAGAGUGAGAUAGUCCUUUUUUUUUUUGGACUUACUGCAGCUAACAUCCCCCUAAAGGUGAAAAUAUGUUUAAGGCAUUUGGAUUUAUUAAGGAAAGAAAAAUAUAGUCACAAAACGGAAAAAGAAGAGAGAGAGAAAGAGACACAGAGAGAGGGAGGCAACAAC
rnacentral:lncRNA from 12 species